UACGAAGGGUGCAAGCGUUACUCGGAAUUACUGGGCGUAAAGCGUGCGUAGGCGGUUUGUUAAGUCCGUUGUGAAAGCCCUGGGCUCAACCUGGGAAUUGCAGUGGAUACUGGCGAGCUAGAGUGCGGUAGAGGAUGGUGGAAUUCCCGGUGUAGCGGUGAAAUGCGCAGAUAUCAGGAGGAACACCGAUGGCGAAGGCAGUGGGCUGGGCCGGCACUGACGCUGAGGAGCGAAAGCGUGGGGAGCGAACAGG
rnacentral:rRNA from 1 species